GUUUUAAUAGCUUAAAUUUAGUAAAGCAUAACACUGAAGAUGUUAAGAUAAUUAACAAAUUUUAAAACA
rnacentral:tRNA from 1 species